GGGGCUGAAGGAUGCCCAGAGAGAUCUGGGGCCUCGGGAGAUCGAGGUUAAAAAACGUCUAGGCCCC
rnacentral:misc_RNA from 1 species